CCUACGGGGGGCUGCAGUGGGGAAUAUUGGACAAUGGGCGAAAGCCUGAUCCAGCCAUGCCGCGUGUGUGAAGAAGGCCUUCGGGUUGUAAAGCACUUUCAGUGGGGAAGAAAGCCUUGGGGCUAAUAUCCUCGAGGAAGGACAUCACCCACAGAAGAAGCACCGGCUAACUCCGUGCCAGCAGCCGCGGUAAUACGGAGGGUGCGAGCGUUAAUCGGAAUUACUGGGCGUAAAGCGCGCGUAGGCGGUCUGAUAAGCCGGUUGUGAAAGCCCCGGGCUCAACCUGGGAACGGCAUCCGGAACUGUCAGGCUAGAGUGCAGGAGAGGAAGGUAGAAUUCCCGGUGUAGCGGUGAAAUGCGUAGAGAUCGGGAGGAAUACCAGUGGCGAAGGCGGCCUUCUGGACUGACACUGACGCUGAGGUGCGAAAGCGUGGGUAGCAAACAGGAUUAGAUACCCGGGUAGUC
rnacentral:rRNA from 1 species